rnacentral:tRNA from 1 species
AGCUCAAUGGAUAGAGCAUCUGACUACGGAUCAGAAGGUUGGGGGUUCGAAUCCCUCGUGGC